UACGGAGGGUGCAAGCGUUAUCCGGAUUCACUGGGUUUAAAGGGUGCGUAGGAGGGCAGGUAAGUCAGUGGUGAAAUCCCCGAGCUUAACUUGGGAACUGCCGUUGAUACUAUCUGUCUUGAAUACCGUGGAGGUGAGCGGAAUAUGUCAUGUAGCGGUGAAAUGCUUAGAUAUGACAUAGAACACCAAUUGCGAAGGCAGCUCGCUACACGAAUAUUGACUCCUGAGGCACGAAAGCGUGGGGAUCAAACAGGA
rnacentral:rRNA from 1 species